rnacentral:rRNA from 1 species
GGUUGGCGCAGCUACCAUGCAGUCGAGCGGAACGAGAAGUAGCUUGCUACUUCGGCGUCGAGCGGCGGACGGGUGAGUAAUGCAUAGGAAGUUGCCCAGUAGAGGGGGAUAACCAUUGGAAACGAUGGCUAAUACCGCAUGACCUCUUCGGAUCAAAGAAGGGGACCUUCGGGCCUUGCGCUAUUGGAUACGCCUAUGUGGGAUUAGCUAGUUGGUGAGGUAAGGGCUCACCAAGGCGACGAUCCCUAGCUGGUCUGAGAGGAUGAUCAGCCACACUGGGACUGAGACACGGCCCAGACUCCUACGGGAGGCAGCAGUGGGGAAUAUUGCACAAUGGGCGAAAGCCUGAUGCAGCCAUGCCGCGUGUAUGAAGAAGGCCUUCGGGUUGUAAAGUACUUUCUGUUGUGAGGAAGGCGGUAAGAUUAAUACUCUUAUCGUUUGACGUUAGCAACAUAAGAAGCACCGGCUAACUCCGUGCCAGCAGCCGCGGUAAUACGGAGGGUGCGAGCGUUAAUCGGAAUUACUGGGCGUAAAGCGCAUGCAGGUGGUUUGUUAAGUCAGAUGUGAAAGCCCGGGGCUCAACCUCGGAAGGUCAUUUGAAACUGGCAAACUAAAGUACUGUAGAGGGGGGUAGAAUUUCAGGUGUAGCGGUGAAAUGCGUAGAGAUCUGAAGGAAUACCAGUGGCGAAGGCGGCCCCCUGGACAGAUACUGACACUCAGAUGCGAAAGCGUGGGGGAGCAAACAGGAUUAGAUACCCUGGUAGUCCACGCCGUAAACGAUGUCUACUUGGAGGUUGUGGCCUUGAGGCUGUGGCUUUCGGAGCUAACGCGUUAAUAUACCGCCUGGGGAGUACGGUCGCAAGAUUAAAACUCAAAUGAAUUGACGGGGCCCUCACAAGCGGUGCAGCAUGUGGUUUAAUUCGAUGCAUCGCGAAGACCUUACCUACUCAUGACAUCCAGAUAUGCCAUAGAGAUACAGGUGUGCCUAUCCGGAGCUCUCAUACAGGUGCUGCAUGACUGUCGUCAGCUCGUGU